rnacentral:rRNA from 1 species
UAACUGCCCGAAAGGGUAGCUAAUACCGCAUAUUGUGCGCCUUGUGCGCAUGAAAGCAGUAAUGCGCUUCGGGAGGGGGCCUGCGUCCCAUUAGCUAGUUGGUAGGGUAAAAGACCUACCAAGGCGACGAUGGGUAGCUGGAUCGAGAGGUUGACCAGCCACACUGGGACUGAGAUACGGCCCAGACUCCUACGGGAGGCAGCAGUAAGGAAUCUUCCACGAUGGACGAAAGUCUGAUGGAGCAACACCGCGUGCAGGAUGACGGCCUUAGGGUUGUAAACUGCUUUUAUAGAUGAAGAUUAUGACGGUAAUCUAUGAAUAAGGACCGGCUAACUACGUG